ACGGAUUCCUGUGUCAUCAAGAUUCGCUCUGCCUCGAGUCUCCAGGAGCUUCCAGUGGCUUGGUUACCCCCGACUCUUCGUCCAUGCCUCUUAGAGCCCCUUUCCCAGCCUCACUGGGUGUCCCUUAAUAGUCUUGGGACCUUAAGGAGCAAGUCAGCCCCUGCGGAACCUCCCAGUGAAGAGAAAGAGCUGGCUGUGCGGUGGAACUUGGAAGAGACGACGUCUGGGAGCUUUUGCUGAGCCCAGGGGGAGAGGCGUCCCUCUGGCUGCUGCUCCAGCUCUGGCAGACACGCCAAGCUUUGAGAAAGCUCCCAGUGAGGAACUGGUCUUCUGGAGACUCUGUGUGGCAUAGAGUGAUUCAACCACCUUAAGAAGACCUCUGGCUUUCCUGGAACACAGAUGUCGAGACAUCUCCCAUGGAUUUGUGAUCAGCGUUGCAGCUCUCCCAGCAGCCCUGGACGGUGACUCUCCUCUCUUGGAAUGCAUCCUGAAGCAGCUGAAAAGGGGUGCCCCGGGCCCAGCAGGGAGCAAAAUCUGACUAGAGAAGAAGACAGGAACCAGGAUGGGAAGACGGACAUGUUACAUUUUAAGCUGGAGCUUCCCCUGCAGUCCACGGAGCACGUUCUCGGUGUGCAGCUCAUCCUGACUUUCUCCUAUCGAUUACACAGGAUGGCGACCCUCGUGAUGCAGAGCAUGGCGUUUCUCCAGUCCUCCUUUCCUGUCCCGGGAUCCCAGUUAUACGUGAACGGAGACCUGAGGCUGCAGCAGAAGCAGCCGCUGAGCUGUGGUGGCCUAGAUGCCCGAUACAAUGUAAGGGCGCUUCUCAUUGUCC
rnacentral:lncRNA from 1 species